CCUACGGGUGGCAGCAGUAGGGAAUCUUCCACAAUGGGCGAAAGCCCGAUGGAGCAACGCCGCGUGGGUGAAGAAGGUCUUCGGAUCGUAAAACCCUGUUGUUAGAGAAGAAAGUGCGUGAGAGUAACUUUUCACGUUUCGACGGUAUCUAACCAGAAAGCCACGGCUAACUACGUGCCAGCAGCCGCGGUAAUACGUGGGUGGCAAGCGUUAUCCGGAUUUAUUGGGCGUAAAGGUGACGCAGGCGGUCUUUUAAGUCUGAUGUGAAAGCCUUCGGCUUAACCGGAGUAGUGCAUUGGAAACUGGGAGACGUGAGUGCAGAAGAGGAGAGUGGAACUCCAUGUGUAGCGGUGAAAUGCGUAGAUAUAUGGAAGAACACCAGUGGCGAAAGCGGCUCUCUGGUCUGUAACUGACGCUGAGGUUCGAAAGCGUGGGUAGCAAACAGGAUUAGAUACCCGUGUAGUC
rnacentral:rRNA from 1 species